AGUGGCGACCGGGUGAGUAACACGUGACUAACCUACCUCCGAGUGGGGAAUAACUCCGGGAAACCGGGGCUAAUACCGCAUAACAUCGCAAGAUCAAAGCAGCAAUGCGCUUGGAGAGGGGGUCGCGGCUGAUUAGCUAGUUGGCGGGGUAACGGCCCACCAAGGCGAAGAUCGGUAUCCGGCCUGAGAGGGCGCACGGACACACUGGAACUGAAACACGGUCCAGACUCCUACGGGAGGCAGCAGUGGGGAAUUUUGCGCAAUGGGGGAAACCCUGACGCAGCAACGCCGCGUGGAGGAUGAAGCCCUUUGGGGCGUAAACUCCUUUCGACCAAGACGAUAAUGACGGUACUGGUGGAAGAAGCACCGGCUAACUCUGUGCCAGCAGCCGCGGUAAUACAGAGGGUGCGAGCGUUGUUCGGAAUUAUUGGGCGUAAAGGGCGCGUAGGCGGUGCCACAAGUCACUUGUGAAAUCUCCGGGCAUAACUCGGAGUCUGCAGGCGA
rnacentral:rRNA from 1 species